rnacentral:tRNA from 3 species
GGUUUCGUAGUGUAGUGGUUAGCACUCCAGACUUUGAAUCUGGCGACCUGGGUUCAAAUCCGGGCGAGACCU